ensembl:lncRNA
AGUGACUUGCUCAAGAUUACAGUCAGUGAGAGAGCUGAAGUGUGAACCAAGGCAGUCUGCUCUAAAGAAAUGUGUUUAACCAUUGGAUGAAAUGAUAUUUGUCCAAGUACAAGUGCAAGCCCUCCAUAAAGAGUCCCAGGUCCCAGCCGGUCUCAUUCCUACCACCUUGACUUGUCCUGCUUGACCAUCAAUAGCAUGGACCCGAGCUUAAGCACAGCAGCUUGUUUGCGCCGUCUCUUGCGAGCCAUUUUCCUUGUGGAUGCCUUCGGUGAGCUGCAGCAACUCUGCUCAUGGGCACCAUGGGCACAGCACAGGGCAACUGUGACUGUGAAGACUGGUCUGGACCCAAGCUCAGCUAUAGAGUGCCCAGCCAGGGUCACAAAUUGACCUUGUUCUGCAGAUGACUCUCCAUCCCAACCACAGCUUGGAAAGAUUACAUUUGGCUCCUGGCACUAGUGACACUAAAAGUCUUCCGUGAGUGAACUGGAUGCUUCUCAAUCACGAACACAAUGGCUAAAUUAUCUUUCCUCUGGUGGCACCAAGUGACUCAUCUUUUGUUUGGAGCUGGUUACUUCCUGGUGAGAGGAAGUUUCUGUCCUUCUGGUUGCCUUCCUGUCUCUCUUCCUGGUGGGCUGAUGGUAUGGUUAGGGCUGUAAUACUGUCAUAGAACAUCUUUUUGAAUCAAAGACUAAUUUUCCCAGAGAUUGUGGAGUCGAGUAUUUCUAUUUGAGGUAGGAAAGCAAACACGGACCCAUAAAUAGACACUCAUAUGGUCCUUUUCUCCUAUUUCUGUGGCUUUUCAUAAUUUUUACCAGGGACAUAAUGUGGGUAUGACUCAUGAACCUAAAUAUAAUGCGAAUGGAUUCAUAGUAACUUUUCCUGAAACUAAAAAAAAAUCAGUCCCAUCAUAAUCAUGGUAGCUUACUUCACAUGUGGAAAGCUUUAAAAGGUCACUUCCAGAUGAUGUCCUUGGGUUGUUAGAAAGGGAGGGAAAGAUUUAAUGAAACUCUUGAUUCCAAAAAGUUAGGAAUGUUUUGGGCUCCAAAAAAUAUUUAGAGCCAAAUAUUUCAGGACACAAUAGAAUGAGGGAAACAGUUUCUUCUUACAGUCAAGACUUCAAACUCUCCAAUAAAUCAAAGGUAAUGAGCUGGUAACUCCAUGAGGAUGGGAGGGAAAAGAUGCUACAUUUUGGUGAGUUUCAGACAAAUAAAAAUUGAUUCUACUUAUACUCUGAGACCUAGUUUAGGGAGGAUUGAGCUAAUAGGAAAGCACGCUAAUCAGAGAAAGAAUAAGAGGGAACCACAUU